ensembl:lncRNA
AGCACUAACCAUCGCCUUCACUUGUUUCAAGGGGGAAGCCCCUAGUCACCCCGCUCUGCGCGCACCUCCUGGCACCCCGGCGGCAAACUUCUGCGGGUCAGCGUUCCCCCGCUCGGGGCGGGACACCCCCGCAGACUUGAGUUAACGGGCUUAGCCGGCCGCGGCGCUGGGGGGCUCUGCUCUCUUGCUCCCCGGGCUGAGCUAAUUGACCCAGCAACGACUCCCCUUCCUUAAUUUUUUUUUUUUUUUAUUUGUAUCUUUCCCUUUUUUCUUUAAUGCCAUUUACUCCCGCGGCGCAGCGCACAAGGAGCCCUCCCGUGCGGUACCAUCCUGGAGCCCGCCCAGGUCACUUUCAUGAAUUCAAAAGCAAUUUACCAGUGAUUUCUGGGUGCUGGGGCUGAUUUUUUUGUGCGUAUUUGUUGUCACAGAGCAUUGGUUUGAGCUUCCUGAGUCACACAGCAAAUACCCACCGGCUAUCUGUUUUACACAUGAUGAGAGAGAGCCAAGGAUAUCUGGCCCAUUGAAUGCUAU